GAAAAAGCGGGGUUGCCGUGCUUGGACGUCGUUGGGAAAACCUUGUUCUAUCAGGAUAAAGUGAUUAUUCACCAGAAAACAACCAAGGAAACAAUACAAAUGUUGGUUAAAAUGGGAGAAUAUGCAUUUGAAAGAGGCGAUUCAAAAUGGAAAGAAAAUGAAGUGAAAUAUUUCCAACGCAUGAUCGAAGCUAUUUGUGGACACGUGGUGUUGCCUGUUGCUUUAUCGCUUGACAACGGAGGUUUCCAGAAACAAAUUGUUGCAAAUGCAGUUGACAUGAAAUUUCCUAUAUUAUCUUCCAAGAAAUCUACCAAAGAUGCAAGCGUGACCUUGAUUGAUUAUUAUCGGGAUAAUUUUAAC